CAUGAAGCUGGAAUCGCUAGUAAUCGCGGAUCAGAAUGCCGCGGUGAAUACGUUCCCGGGUCUUGUACACACCGCCCGUCACACCCAUGGGAGUCGGAAAUGCCCGAAGUCUGUGACCCAACCUUAGGGAGGGAGCAGCCGAAGGCAGGUCGGAUGACUGGGGUGAAGUCGUAACAAGGUACC
rnacentral:rRNA from 1 species